ACGCCCACGCAGAAUUCACGUUCCAGCCACGCCCAACAUGGCAGCGUUCAUAAGAGGAGUAAGAAACUUGUUGCCAAGGGGUCUAGUAGUGGCAAGAUGCGCUUCUUCAUCAGCAGAAUUCAGUAUUCCGG